GCCAGUAUGGUUUAGGGGUUUGAGUGUCAGAUUAUACCUCUGGAGACCGGGUUCGAAUCUCCACUCAGCCA